UGGGGAAUAUUGGACAAUGGGGGCAACCCUGAUCCAGCAAUGCCGCGUGUGUGAAGAAGGUCUUCGGAUUGUAAAGCACUUUCGACGGGGACGAUGAUGACGGUACCCGUAGAAGAAGCCCCGGCUAACUUCGUGCCAGCAGCCGCGGUAAUACGAAGGGGGCUAGCGUUGCUCGGAAUGACUGGGCGUAAAGGGCGUGUAGGCGGUUUACACAGUCAGAUGUGAAAUCCCCGGGCUUAACCUGGGAGCUGCAUUUGAUACGUGUAGACUAGAGUGUGAGAGAGGGUUGUGGAAUUCCCAGUGUAGAGGUGAAAUUCGUAGAUAUUGGGAAGAACACCGGUGGCGAAGGCGGCAACCUGGCUCAUGACUGACGCUGAGGCGCGAAAGCGUGGGGAGCAAACAGGAUUAGAUACCCUGGUAGUCCACGCUGUAAACGAUGUGUGCUAGAUGUUGGGUAACUUUGGU
rnacentral:rRNA from 1 species